rnacentral:rRNA from 1 species
UCGAGAAUCUUCGGCAAUGGGCGCAAGCCUGACCGAGCGACGCCGCGUGGAGGACGAAGGCCUUCGGGUUGUAAACUCCUGUCGAGGGGGAGGAAGGCGCAAGCUUGACCGAUCCCUGGAGGAAGCACGGGCUAAGUUCGUGCCAGCAGCCGCGGUAAGACGAACCGUGCGAACGUUAUUCGGAAUCACUGGGCUUAAAGCGCGUGUAGGCGGAUGGGCGCAUCGAUCGCUGAAAUCCCCCGGCUCAACCGGGGAACUGGCGUCGAGAUGGCCCGUCUCGAGGGGGGUAGGGGGACCUGGAACUUCCGGUGGAGCGGUGAAAUGCGUUGAGAUCGGAAGGAACGCCCGUGGCGAAAGCGAGGUCCUGGACCCUUUCUGACGCUGAGACGCGAAAGCCAGG